rnacentral:rRNA from 1 species
UACGGAGGGGGCUAGCGUUGUUCGGAAUUACUGGGCGUAAAGCGCACGUAGGCGGCUUUGUAAGUUAGAGGUGAAAGCCCGGAGCUCAACUCCGGAAUUGCCUUUAAGACUGCAUCGCUAGAAUUGUGGAGAGGUGAGUGGAAUUCCGAGUGUAGAGGUGAAAUUCGUAGAUAUUCGGAAGAACACCAGUGGCGAAGGCGACUCACUGGCUCGACACUGACGCUGAGGUGCGAAAGCGUGGGGAGCAAACAGG